CCUGGCUGCCGUUUGAAAUCAGGUUGUUGUCACAUGACACUGAUAUGGUCUGGUGGAAGGAAGCACGUACUGAAGAACCUCAAGAAGAUCUCAUGUGAAUUAGUGACUGUGAACAGUACGAGUUCGGUAGGUUCUCCGGUGGAUGGAUGGCACACGAUCAGUCUGUAUGUGAGACACACUCAGUGUAUAAUGCGAGCCUUGUGAGUGUGUGAGUGUGUGAGUGUGUGUACGUGAGAACGUGUUGUAGGUAUACUACUAUGAGAUAAAAGGACAACAAUUUCCACGGGACAAUGGAAACGGGUGAUGAUGACUUCGUCCUAUCAGAUGAGGAUGAAGCUGUUGAGUGAGUCUGUCCGAGAUUGUACCUACAGAGUAGCUUUGUUCAAUUAAUAUGAGAAUCAGAGCACCUGGAGCCAUUCACCAUACUACGUUCUAUUAUGUAGAGUGGGGAUGAUGCAACAAGCCACCGCCGAAACAUCGACUGACAGUGCUUAAUGCCUGUGGAGGAUCAAAGAAAUCCUUGAUUAUCGAACAGGCAAGCCAAUGAGUGGUGUUUGAAAUGUACACGUUUACCUAACGACUCAAUGCCGCAAAAAAUGGCUCAAGUUAAUCAAGAUGGAAUAAGCUUGUCGAGUACGGUAAAUGUUGAUUGACCCAAGGCCCAGGACAACAACUCUGAACUCAAAACCAAUAGCCAAUGAUGACAAUGGAAGCAAGUACCAUUGUUCAGGAGCAAUUGAAGCGAUUGAAGCCAUUCAGACCAUUCGUCAGGCUUGAUAGAUGACACCCAUUCGGAGUUCCCAACAUAUUUCCCAUUGAGAGAGUGAGAGCAUAUUAAGACUGCAACAGUUAUAUAUAUAUGCAAUAGUCUGUCUUGUGGAAGAAGAGCGAUAUAUAUUUUAUAUAUUUUA